GACAGAGGCCUCGAGCGUUAGGCGGAAUCACUGGGCUUAAAGCGUGUGUAGGCGGGCCCGUAAGUGUCUUGUGAAAUCCCACGGCUCAACCGUGGAACUGCUGGGCAUACUGCGGGUCUUGGGCCAACUAGGGGCAGCCGGAACAAGCGGUGGAGCGGUGAAAUGCGUAGAGAUCAGGAAGAACACCGGUGGCGAAAGCGCUCUGCUGGACCUUAACUGACACUGAGGGACGAAAGCUAGGGGAGCGAAUGGG
rnacentral:rRNA from 1 species